UGGGGAAUAUUGCACAAUGGGCGCAAGCCUGAUGCAGCCAUGCCGCGUGUAUGAAGAAGGCCUUCGGGUUGUAAAGUACUUUCAGCGGGGAGGAAGGCGAUAAGGUUAAUAACCUUGUCGAUUGACGUUACCCGCAGAAGAAGCACCGGCUAACUCCGUGCCAGCAGCCGCGGUAAUACGGAGGGUGCAAGCGUUAAUCGGAAUUACUGGGCGUAAAGCGCACGCAGGCGGUCUGUCAAGUCGGAUGUGAAAUCCCCGGGCUCAACCUGGGAACUGCAUUCGAAACUAGCAGGCUAGAGUCUUGUAGAGGGGGGUAGAAUUCCAGGUGUAGCGGUGAAAUGCGUAGAGAUCUGGAGGAAUACCGGUGGCGAAGGCGGCCCCCUGGACAAAGACUGACGCUCAGGUGCGAAAGCGUGGGGAGCAAACA
rnacentral:rRNA from 1 species